rnacentral:lncRNA from 14 species
UGAAAUUUAGGUUAAAAUAGAUUUGAAGGUUUGUCCUCCUGCACAGCAGAGAAAAGACCUAAAUGUGACAGUUAGUAUAGCUGAAUAGUUGGAAGAAGAAAUCAAUGUUCAAAUGGGUGUGAAGAUGCAAUUUUUCCCCAAGGGAACCCUCCCUUGGUCUGUGAAGCACAAGGGCUGAGUGCUCUGAUGCAAGCUUUCAUAUCCCUUAUGAGAGGGAAUAAGGGAAGAUCCUGGGGCUCCACAAUUUAUUGCUGUGCUUUUACACAAUCCCUGAUCAGUGUGGGAGCUGGAAUCAAGACUCAGGAUCCCCUCUUCAUGGAGAAAGCACCGACUGCUGGACUGCAAGGCUGUACAUCCUCCUGCAAGAGAAAACUCACUCAGUGCACCACGUCUGAGCUAGGGAAUCAAAAAGACAGACUGCUGAUUGCUUCAUCUGCAAGGAGCAAGCCAUUAUCCUGGAGGCGCUUUGUGCAGGAGAAAAAGCAUCCUUAUUAGCCUGCCCAGGCUCAUGAAAUUAUGGAAGAGCCACACACCAAGCUUCAUGCAGAAGAAAGGUUGAUGCUGCUCUACAGUUUUGCUCAGGAAAGGAUUGUCCAGUUACAGUAUAUUGACUUGUGGUGCUCAGCAGCAAGGAGAUGCUGAACAGAUGUGUGUGAGAGAGCAGAGGGGGAGGUGGACUCCUUGAUAAUGUAUUCUGACUGAAAAAAAUCCCCUUUCCGACUGAGGCAUUGCUGUAAAUGAAAUAAUUUAUUCACCCUAGGCUUUGCCUUCACAUGUGCUAUUCCUCUGACAAACCAGCACUAAACCUAUGUUGACUUGCCACACGCACCACCCAAGUGUGCUUAUACACCCAGCCCUUCAGACAAGAUUCAACCCUGAAAACUGGAGUCAGUACUCAAGAAGGUAUCUUGGUCUUUUUUAGGAGCCUCUCACAGAGGGCAAGUACCUUGAUAUUUUCAGUAACAUUCCCACUCCUCUUAGGUUUCAGAAGGAUUUUGUUUGUGUUUAGUGGAUCUUUCAUUUAUAAAUGACUCAUAUUGCUCUGAACAGAAAGUAACUGGCCUUUCUUCUACACAGCUCUUGAAGAAGUGCCAAAGAACCUCACUGCUCCACUUUACAUAGCUUGACUAUAUUUAGUGUGUGCUAUACCAAGAACUGUAACACAGCCUGUGAAUCUUGUCUUUUGUUCAAGAGAUGCAGUGGUUGCAGGCUUUGGUCUCAGUCAGGGAUAUGUUCAUAAGCUUUCAUGUCUCCUGGUUGACAAGCAUCAUCACUCCUUCCUUCAGCCCUGUGUCCCGCAGAAGAGCAAGGUCACUGGUUCAUGCACUGUGUGCGAUACAGGAGAAAAAUCGAGUAAGAAUUUUUUAAUAAAUAUAUUUUUUAUAUAACA